AGUGAACGCUGGCGGUAGGCCUAACACAUGCAAGUCGAACGGCAGCACAGUAAGAGCUUGCUCUUACGGUUGGCGAGUGUCUGACGGGUGAGGAAUACAUCGGAAUCUACUUUUUCGUUGUGGUUACCGUAUGUAAACUUACUCUAAUACCGCAUACGACCUCCGGUUUAAAUCAUGGUUUCUUCGUACCUUCCGCUUUUUAUUUAUCCGAUGUCGGAUUAGCUAGUUGGCGGGGUAAAGGCCCACCAAGGCGACGAUCCGUAGCUGGUCUGAGAGGAUGAUCAGCGACACUGGAAAUGAGACACGGACAAGAAUCCGACGGGAGGCAGAAGUGGGGAAUAUUGGACAAUGGGGGAAAGGCUGAUCCAGCAAUACCGAGUGGGUGAAGAAGGAAUUAGGGUUGUAAAGACAUUUUGUUGGGAAAGAAAAGAAGAAGGUUAAUAAGCAGAUGUUGUGACGGUACCAAAAGAAUAAGCACCGGCUAACUUCGUG
rnacentral:rRNA from 1 species